rnacentral:lncRNA from 1 species
GUCUGUCACACAUGAAAGGAAGAGACUGUAAAAUCCCGAGGGAAGUGGUGUCCUGUUUCUACCCUCGCUCCGUUUCUUCCCAGGCCUCCGCAGUGGACAGCCUUGUGGAGAUGAUGCAGAAGCUGCAGCUGAAGGACUGAGAGGAGGAGCGUCAGCAGGCAGCAGCUUCUGCAGUGCGCGGCGUUACAGGGCAGUGCUGAGUGCCGCCCAACUCGGCACUCCACCUUCAAACGUAGUCAAUAAAAACCAGUCAAAUUUAUAGAUUCACAGAGAGCGCACGGCCUGAUUUGUCCAGCGGCACUCGGAGAGCUGCUGCACCACCUCCUCGUUAUUGGUCUCGCGGCGCUCGCUCAGAACUGCCACAGCUCCGUCAGUGAAUGCUGCCGUCCAGUGAUGCAACGGAGGCAGCAGUCCUUUGCACUGCCCACAGACAGACUGUCUGCAAAGCACGUGCAAAGAGCUGCAGGGAACACAGCCUGGCCAUGAGCGUGCUAACUUGGAGAGCAACGCUGUGGAGAUUGCGGAGUUUCCCAGGGCAGCACUGAGCGUUUUUUGCUGUGAUGGCGGGUGUACAAUGAGCAAAGUUCAGCAAAAGGACGGCGUUUUCUGAGAAAAAAAUGACAGGCUGUUGGUCCAGAGCAGCAUCUCUGCAGCUUAGGACCACCAGGCUGCCAUCCCAGCACUGUUCUGCUUGCAGGCAGCGCUCCAUGUUGUGGCACUCAGAGGGCGUCCCUCUGCCGUGCAGCCCUCCCCAGUGCCUGCCUGCCUGUCACUGUUGUGGCUGGGAUGGAGCUGUUUCCUUUGCAGUGCCUCCCAUGGCGCUGUGUUCACAUGCGUGCACCCCAUCCCUCUGCACACC